AAGAAGGGGCAGAGACAGAGACAGAGACAGAAAGAAGGGGCAGAGACAGAGACAGAGUAAGAAAGAAGGGGCAGAGACACAGACAGAAGGAAGGGGCAGAGACAGAAAGAAGGGGCAGAGACAGAAAGAAGGGGCAGAGACAGAGACAGAACGAAGGGGCAGAGACAGAGACAGAAAGAAGGGGCAGAGACAGAGACAGAAAGAAGGGGCAGAGACAGAGACAGAAAGAAGGUGCAGAGACAGAGACAGAAAGAAGGUGCAGAGAAAGAGACAGAGACAGAAAGAAGGGGCAGAGACAGAGACAGAGUAAGAAAGAAGGGGCAGAGACAGAGGCAGAGACAGAAAGAAGGGGCAGAGACAGAGACAGAAAGAAGGGGCAGAGACAGAGGCAGAAAGAAGGGGCAGAGACAGAGGCAGAAAGAAGGUGCAGAGACAGAGGCAGAAAGAAGGUGCAGAGACAGAGACAGAGACAGAAAGAAGGGGCAGAGACAGAGACAGAGACAGAAAGAAGAGGCAGAGACAGAGACAGAGACAGAAAGAAGAGGCAGAGACAGAGACAGAAAGAAGGGGCAGAGACAGAGACAGAAAGAAGGGGCAGAGACAGAGACAGAGACAGAGACAGAAAGAAGGGGCAGAGACAGAG
ensembl:lncRNA